AGCACAGAUGGGAUGAUGCUCACAACUUACUUGAACUUGGCUUCUACUUCUUCAGCAGCUUUCUGAUAUUGCUCGGUGGUAACUUUGUAGAACUCUGAGCUC